UUACCGUAAUUUAGCUUCAAUCCAAAAUUUAGGAAUUCUUGACUUUUCAAAACCUAAAACAAGUCAAAAGCAAUAAAUUUUUUAAUUAUUUAAAAACAGAAAUUAAUUAAUUAAAUAAAAUAUUUUUUAAAUUAUUUAAAAACAGAAAAUAAUUAAUUAUAUAAUUCACUAUUUAUUUAAGUUAUUAGAAAACAUAAUCUAUUAAACUAUAUAUGCAAACAGGAAAUUAAAUAAAUAAUUAAAACAAAUUUUUUCAUUAUUUCAAAACAGUGCUUAAUUAAAUUAUUAAUUAAAGAGUUAUUUCAUUUAUAAAAAAACAGUAAAUAAAAAAUUAUUCUGAUAAUUAAAACAUUCAACUUAUAAGUUUAAGACAAAAACAAAAUAAUAACAACCAUUUCAUCAAGUCAUGUCCAAAUUGAUUCUUAAUUAUAAUAACAACACUUAUCAAAAAUAACUAUAAACAUAUACAACCUUUAACGCAUUUAGGCAUAUAAACAACUAAGGGUGAGAACGGGACAGGUCGCCCCGUUCCGCGUCCUGGUGGUAACCGGGGGCGGGGCAGAUAUUCUGCCCCGUUGCCCUGAUCAUAUUCUGGGGCGGGUCUCAGGGCAAGGCGAACCCUGGGUGGGUCGCCCCGGUUUUUUUUUAAAAUUAAUUUUUAUGUUUUUUUUUUUUUUUUUUUUUUGAAGCAAUUUUUAUGUUUUUUUUAUUAAUUUAAAUUAUAUUAUAUUAGAUAUAUAAUUUUCAAAUUAAUUUUUAUAAAAAUCAAGGUAAAAAAUUUACCCAUUUUAAAUUUUAGAUUUAAUUUUUUAAACUUUUUUAUAUAUAUUUUUUAUUUUUAUAAUUCAAGCGGGUGGCCCUAGUCACCGGGGUCGGGGCGGGUCUCGGAGUAGGAAGGUAGGGUACCUGCCCGCCCCAUUUCGCGUUCCGUUUUUCCAGAGCGGGACAGAUACCGGGGUGGGACCGUUCGACCCGCCCCGUUCUCACCCCUAUAAACAACGGUUAAGUCCAACAUGUUCCUUAGUAAAAACUAUAAACAUAUAACACAUUUAUACAUAAAAAAUUAAAUAAACUGAUAAAACUAUAAACAUAUAAACAUUCAUAUCGAAAUCAAAUAAAAUCAUCCAUAUCUAAACUUCCAUAUCUAAAAUCAUACAUAUAAAAUUACAGUAGACAUAAAAUAACUAAACCAUAUAUAAAAUUCCAUAUAAACACCCACAUUAACAUCAACAUCCAUAUAAACAUAUAAACAUCCAUCAUCCAUAUAACUAAACCAUUGAUUAUUGAAACCCUAAAUAUUGAAACAGAAUAUUUAUUAUAAGAUCGAAGAAGGAUGAUUAAGAUGAACAAUUUAAGAUUUAAGUUUAAAGAUUUAAGUAGAAAAUGUUUUAUCUAAAAAAUAUAUUAAUGUAAUACCUUCACACGACCACCGGCGGUAGGGAUCGAAGACCGACGGGAGGAAACGUCGACGGCGCGCAGGAGGAACGACGGCGACGGAGGUAUUGCGGCGGCAGCAGGGAGGCAGUGGUAGCAAAGAGGCAGCAGGGCGGCACGCGAUUUGGAAACAUAUGCGUUCUGUCUGCGAUUUGGGGUUUUAUUAAACCCCCAAACCUUACAUGGUGGAUUUCCGCUAUGUAAGGUACAUUAAGUUUCGCCGUCAUAGACGGAAAAGUCCGCCCAAUCAAAAUUUGGACGGGCUUUUUCCGCCCGACUCCCUGAAAACUUAACAUGGCGGAUGUCCGCCAUGUUAAGUCAUUUUAAUCGGGUAACCGGGUUAAUUUUGGGGGGAAUUUCGAAAUUUUAACACCACCAUCGAAAAUAAAUUUGAACCACUGUCGAGCCCGAGCCUUUCCUCGACGAACUCAAACAAUUGAUGAUGGAUAUCCGCCAUCAAAAAAACUGAAUUAUUGAUGGCGGAAAUCCGUCAUUUAAAAGCCGUCAUACAAGGUCUUAUUUAUUGUUGUGCCAAUGGACCAGUUAACAUACCUUCCUACCCUCCAUGAAAUCUAUAAAUAUGGGUGGGGACUGAUCAUUUUUGGGGAUCCAAGCAAGCGACCAACCUCUUUCCUCAUAGCACAAGGAGUGGAGUGUGCGACCAAAAUCCAGAGCUUUCGAUCGAUCGACCAAAAGAGAUUCUACAAAGUACAAGUAAAGUCGACCAAACUAUUGGAUCAAUUGGUCCAACACCGAUAAGGAAACCUAUAAAUAGGAAAGAAGACUGAUAAUUUUGGGGGAUCUAAGCAAGUGAACGACCUCAAAAAUACAGCCCUAAAAAUAAAUCAUCAGGUAUCCUUAAGUAGGUCUGAGGGUCCGGAAGCUCGAAAAAGAUUGAACAUCGUAAACGAGUUUAGGCUUCUAACCGGACCAGGAUCGAAUGCCAUUCCCUCGUUUAUAGACCAAAAGGAGGAGGAUUGGGAAUUAGAUCACAUCUGAAGGGAUCGACUAGAGCCAUGGAGAUAAUAUUAUGAUUUCAGGUCAAUUUCAUUUAAAAUUAAAAGCUAUUAGUCAUCUGAAUCUUAGAUAUAAUUUUCCCUAACCCAACACACCGGGACCGUCAAAACCAGUCCGACCCAACAGAGUUCUGGGUUCGGGAAUCUUACUCUAUAAAUAUCGCCAAUGAUCACAGUUGAGGAGAUCUUUGAUCAUUUGUAAAAAUAACAUCGUCUUAAAAAGAGAUCGUGUAAUGUAAGAUCAUACAUUUUUCUUGUACUAUAUCAUUAUAAAUGUAUUGUGAUAGAAAUUUUUACUUCCAUCACUAAAAAGUGGAGGUGAGAACGGACAGGCGAGUGGGCCCUGUCCCAGU
rnacentral:lncRNA from 1 species